rnacentral:rRNA from 1 species
GCGCACCAGGCGCGAAUCCUCCGCAAUGCGGGAAACCGUGACGGGUCACCCGAGUGCCACCGAUGAGGUGGCUUUCCCGGUCUAAAAGCCGGGGCAAUAAGCGGGGGCAAGUCUGGUGUCAGCCGCCGCGGUAAUACCAGCCCGCGAGUGGUCGGGACGUUUAUUGGGCCUAAAGCGUCCGUAGCCGGCUCGGUAAGUCCCUCCUUAAAUCCACGGGCUCAACCCGUGGGCUGGGAGGGAUACUGCCGGGCUAGGGGGCGGAGAGGCCGAGGGUACUCCCGGGGUAGGGCGAAAUCC